GAAAUGUGUAUGCUUUGCCUAUUUUAUAUUUUACUUUACUAUUUUAUACUUACAGAAUAUAUUUGGAUCCCCAUUUUAUAAAUAGAGAGAGACAGCGUGCAGGAGGAGGGGCAGAGGGAGUGGGAGAGAGCAUCUCAAGCUGAUAAUUCGGAUCUGAGUGUGGAGCUCGACCGGGGGCUCGACUUACCAACCCUGAGAUCACGACCUGAGCCGAAAUGAAGAGUUGGACACUUAACUGACUGAGCCACCCAGGGCCAAAAACAGGCAUGGGGAGCUUCAGUAACUGGCCCGGAUUCGACCUCUGGUGUAGAGGACAAAAAACGGACAUUGAAUUUUCAGACCUUGUCAUAUUGGUGCCAUCAGAUGUCCCUGUGACAGGAUACUGCAGGUCGGUGCAGCUCAGGCGUUUUCCCAGGCGGAGAAAGCAUCCAGUGGGGAAGCAGUGGGGCAUACGGAUUGAGAAUGGGCGCUCCGGAGUCAGACUAGAACUGCGUUCCAGCCGCAGGCCAGCCAAUCCCAUGUCCUGGGGCCAGGUACAGUAGCCUCUCACAACCUGAGCUGCUGCUUCUGUAAAAUGGUAGAAUGAAGGCCUUACUCACGGGGGCGUUGGCGGUGUUGGGUGA